CCUCGGGAGGCUGCAGUGGGGAAUAUUGCACAAUGGAGGAAACUCUGAUGCGGCAACGCCGCGUGGAGGAUGACACUUUUCGGAGCGUAAACUCCUUUUAUAUAGGAAGAAGAUGACGGUACUAUAUGAAUAAGCGCCGGCUAACUCCGUGCCAGCAGCCGCGGUAAUACGGAGGGCGCAAGCGUUACUCGGAAUCACUGGGCGUAAAGAGCGUGUAGGCGGAUUAAAAAGUCAGAAGUGAAAUCCUAUAGCUUAACUAUAGAACUGCUUCUGAAACUCUUAAUCUAGAAUAUGGGAGAGGUAGAUGGAAUUUCUGGUGUAGGGGUAAAAUCCGUAGAGAUCAGAAGGAAUACCGAUUGCGAAGGCGAUCUACUAGAACAUUAUUGACGCUGAGACGCGAAAGCGUGGGGAGCAAACAGGAUUAGAUACCCCAGUAGUC
rnacentral:rRNA from 1 species